CCUACGGGAGGCUGCAGUGAGGAAUAUUGGUCAAUGGCCGAGAGGCUGAACCAGCCAAGUCGCGUGAGGGAAGACGGCCCUACGGGUUGUAAACCUCUUUUGUCGGGGAGCAAAGAGAGGCACGUGUCACGCAUUGAGAGUACCCGAAGAAAAAGCAUCGGCUAACUCCGUGCCAGCAGCCGCGGUAAUACGGAGGAUGCGAGCGUUAUCCGGAUUUAUUGGGUUUAAAGGGUGCGCAGGCGGAGUUUGAAGUCAGCGGUCAAAUCGCGGGGCUCAACCCCGUACUGCCGUUGAAACUGGGUAUCUUGAGUGCGCGAGAAGUAUGCGGAAUGCGUGGUGUAGCGGUGAAAUGCAUAGAUAUCACGCAGAACUCCGAUUGCGAAGGCAGCAUACCGGCGCGCAACUGACGCUCAGGCACGAAAGCGUGGGUAUCGAACAGGAUUAGAUACCCGUGUAGUC
rnacentral:rRNA from 1 species